rnacentral:tRNA from 1 species
GGCCCCGUAGCUUAGAGCGUCAGAUUCCGGUUCUGAAGGUCGUGCGUUUGAAUCGCACCGGGGUCA